rnacentral:misc_RNA from 1 species
UCCGAUUUGUCACCGGCAGUCUCCCAUGAGUCCCCGUCUUUCACGCUGGCAACAUGGGACAGGGGUUGCGCUCGUUGCGCCACUUAAGGCAACACCUCACGGCACGAGCUGACGACAGCCAUGCACCACCUGUGCAGGCUCCGAAGAGCACCCGCUUUCACGGGUUUCACCCUGCAUGUCAAGCCUUGGUAAGGUUCUUCGCGUUGCAUCGAAUUAAUCCGCAUGCUCCGCCGCUUGUGCGGGCCCCCGUCAAUUUCUUUGAGUUUUAGCCUUGCGGCCGUACUCCCCAGGCGGGGUACUUAGUGCGUUAGCGACGGCACGGGAGGAGUCGACACCUCCCACACCUAGUACCCAUCGUUUACGGCGUGGACUAC